UACGUAUGGUCCAAGCGUUGUCCGGAAUAACUGGGCGUAAAGGGUGUGUAGGCGGAUAUCCGUGUCAGGUGUGAAAUCCCUCGGCUUAACCGGGGCAUUGCGCUUGAAACUGGAUAUCUGGAGCGUGUCAGGGGUAAGCGGAAUUCCCGGAGUAGCGGUGAAAUGCGUAGAUAUCGGGAAGAACACCGGUGGCGAAGGCGGCUUACUGGGACAUGGCUGACGCUGAGGCACGAAAGCGUGGGGAGCGAACGGGAUUAGAUACCCCGGUAGUCCACGCUGUAAACGAUGGAUACUAGAUGUCAGUUACAUUAAAGUAGUUGGUGUCGAAGUUAACACGAUAAGUAUCCCGCCUGGGGAGUACGGUCGCAAGAUUAAA
rnacentral:rRNA from 1 species